GACAGAGGGUGCAAACGUUGUUCGGAAUUACUGGGCGUAAAGCGCGCGCAGGUGGUUCGUUGCGUCCGAGGUGAAAUCUCCCGGCUCAACUGGGAGGGGUCUUCGGAUACGGGCGGACUUGAGGAGAGCAGAGGUAGGCGGAAUUCUGGGUGUAGUGGUGAAAUGCGUAGAUAUCGGGAGGAACACCAGUGGCGAAGGCGACUUCCUGGCCUGUUCUUGACGCUGAGGCGCGAAAGCUAGGGGAGCAAACGGG
rnacentral:rRNA from 1 species